rnacentral:sRNA from 1 species
GUCCUGUCCCAGACUUUGGCACCGUCGGGGUCCGUCGUCCCCGAGUGUGUCAGCAUCCCCACCCCGGCUGCUGCCCAGGAUCCGCCGGCCCCUGCCUCGAUAUGGGAGACCUGGAACUGCUGCUGCCCGGGGAAGCUGAAGUGCUGGUGCGGGGUCUGCGCAGCUUCCCGCUACGCGAGAUGGGCUCGGAAGGGUGGAACCAGCAGCAUGAGAACCUGGAGAAGCUGAACAUGCAAGCCAUCCUCGAUGCCACAGUCAGCCAGGGCGAGCCCAUUCAGGAGCUGCUGGUCACCCAUGGGAAGGACUCUGGCACACCAGGCUGGGUGCAGGGCAUGAGUUGAUUAGGGAGAAAGCUGUAGGUCCUAGAAUGGCUUAGGCUUCGAGGGGAAGACCCAAAUGCUAAAGGCAUCUGUGAAUUGACU